rnacentral:rRNA from 1 species
AGAGCGAACGCUGGCGGCAGGCCUAACACAUGCAAGUCGAGCGCCCGUAGCAAUACGGGAGCGGCAGACGGGAUAGUAACACGUGGGAACGCGCCCUUCGGUUCGGAAUAACUCAGGGAAACUUGAGCUAAUACCGGAUACGCCCUUACGGGGAAAGAUUUAUUGCCGAAGGAACGGCCCGCGUCCGAUUAGCUAGUUGGUGAGGUAAUGGCUCACCAAGGCGACGAUCGGUAGCGGGUCUGAGAGGAUGACCAGCAUCACUGGGACUGAGACACGGCCCAGACUCCUACGGGAGGCAGCAGUGGGGAAUAUUGGACAAUGGGCGCAAGCCUGAUCCAGCCAUGCCGCGUGGAUGAUGAAGGCCUUAGGGUUGUAAAGUUCCGUUUUAACGGGGAAGAUAAUGACGGUACCGUAGAAUAAGCCCGGCUAACUUCGUGCCAGCAGCCGC